UACGUAGGGCGCGAGCGUUGUCCGGAAUCAUUGGGCGUAAAGAGCUCGUAGGCGGCCGGUUGCGUCUGCUGUGAAAUCCCGGGGCUUAACCCCGGGCGUGCAGUGGAUACGGGCUGGCUGGAGGCAGGCAGGGGAGAAUGGAAUUCCCGGUGUAGCGGUGAAAUGCGCAGAUAUCGGGAGGAACACCAGUGGCGAAGGCGGCUACCUGGACCAGCACUGACACUGAGGCACGAAAGCGUGGGGAGCAAACAGG
rnacentral:rRNA from 1 species